CACUCUUCUCUCAGAGAGACCUCUUCUUUUGACAACCUAACUAUGAUAACCAGCGAUGUAAACCUCCAACCAUCGACCAUGUAAAUCUCCGAUCAUCGACAACGUGGAUGGAGAUUCAAGAGUGUCGAAGACUAAGCAAUAUCUUAUCCAGUGAUGUCAACGUUGAUUUGCAAGCUUGAUGAGGAUGAUAUGAUCACAAACAUAUUUUGGGAUGAUUCACAUUCUGUAAGUGACUAUCACCUCUUUGGGGAUGUUGUUUGCUUUGCUAUGACACAUCGAACAAACGAAUAUGGUCGACCAUUUGUUGGGGUUAACCAUCAUAAGCAAACAAUUGUUUUUGGUGUAGUUUUGUUGUACGAUGAAACUGCAAAAUCUUUUAAGUGGUUAUUUGAGACUUUCCUCUCAGCGAUGUCUGGAAAGCAGCCAAAGACGAUUCUAACGAAUCCAUUUGCUGCAAUGGCUAGUGCAAUCUUAGAUGUAUUUCCUGAAACUUCUCACUGACUUUGUGUUUGGCAUAUUUAUCAAAAUGAUGCCAAAAAUUUAAGUCAUGUUUCAUGGAUCAAAAGAAUUUGCUCAUGAUUUUAGCACAUGUGUACAUGAUCAUGAGGAUGUAAAUGAGUGGUUUUUAGCAACAAAAAAACGCGUGCUAAUAGCCCCAUAUAUGCCAGCAAAUAUGUUGUUUGUUAAUCCUUUCCAAUAGCCCAUAUAUUCCAUAUUUCUCGGUUGCUACAACUGAAACCCGUAUUUCAAUCAACACAUUGCCUCAUUUAUCAAAUCAAUUUGAGAAAAGGACCCAUUUUCUUU